rnacentral:rRNA from 1 species
GACGAACGCUGGCGGCGUGCUUAACACAUGCAAGUCGAACGGAAAGGCCUCUUUCGGGGGGUACUCGAGUGGCGAACGGGUGAGUAACACGUGAGUAACCUGCCCUUGACUUUGGGAUAACUUCAGGAAACUGGGGCUAAUACCGGAUAGGAGCUCCUGCUGCAUGGUGGGGGUUGGAAAGUUUCGGCGGUUGGGGAUGGACUCGCGGCUUAUCAGCUUGUUGGUGGGGUAGUGGCUUACCAAGGCUUUGACGGGUAGCCGGCCUGAGAGGGUGACCGGCCACAUUGGGACUGAGAUACGGCCCAGGCACCUACGGGAGGCAGCAGGGGGGAAGAUUGCACAAGGGGUGGAAGCCUGAUGCAGCAACGCCGUGGGCGGGAGGACGGCCUUCGGGUUGUAAACCGCGUUCGCUCAUGACGAAGCGUUGUGUGACGGUAGUGGGUAAAGAAGCACCGGCUAACUACGUG